rnacentral:rRNA from 1 species
GACGAACGCUGGUGGCGUGCUUAACACAUGCAAGUCGAACGGUGAAGCCCAGCUUGCUGGGUGGAUCAGUGGCGAACGGGUGAGUAACACGUGAGCAACCUGCCCUCCACUUCGGGAUAAGCCUUGGAAACGAGGUCUAAUACCGGAUAUGAGCGCCUGCCGCAUGGUGGGUGUUGGAAAGUUUUUCGGGGGGGGAUGGGCUCGCGGCCUAUAAGCUUGUUGGGGGGGUAAUGGCCUACCAAGGCGUCGACGGGUAGCCGGCCUGAGAGGGCGACCGGCCACACUGGGACUGAGACACGGCCCAGACUCCUACGGGAGGCAGCAGUGGGGAAUAUUGCACAAUGGGCGAAAGCCUGAUGCAGCGACGCCACGUGAGGGAUGACGGCCUUCGGGUUGUAAACCUCUUUCAGCAGGGAAGAAGCGCAAGUGACGGUACCUGCAGAAGAAGCGCCGGCUAACUACGUGCCAGCCGCCGCGGUAA